CAUGCAAGUCGAGCGGACAGAAGGGAGCUUGCUCCCGGAUGUUAGCGGCGGACGGGUGAGUAACACGUGGGUAACCUGCCUGUAAGACUGGGAUAACUCCGGGAAACCGGAGCUAAUACCGGAUAGUUCCUUGAACCGCAUGGUUCAAGGAUGAAAGACGGUUUCGGCUGUCACUUACAGAUGGACCCGCGGCGCAUUAGCUAGUUGGUGGGGUAAUGGCUCACCAAGGCGACGAUGCGUAGCCGACCUGAGAGGGUGAUCGGCCACACUGGGACUGAGACACGGCCCAGACUCCUACGGGAGGCAGCAGUAGGGAAUCUUCCGCAAUGGACGAAAGUCUGACGGAGCAACGCCGCGUGAGUGAUGAAGGUUUUCGGAUCGUAAAGCUCUGUUGUUAGGGAAGAACAAGUGCGAGAGUAACUGCUCGCACCUUGACGGUACCUAACCAGAAAGCCACGGCUAACUACGUGCCAGCAGCCGCGGUAUACGUGGUGGCAGCGUUGUCCGGAAUUUUGGGCGUAAGGGCUCGCGGCGGUUUCUUAGUCUGAUGUGAAGCCCCGGCUCACCGGGAGGGCAUUGGAACUGGGAACUUGAGUGCAGAAAGGAGAGUGGAAUUCACGUGUACGGUGAAUGCGUAAGAUUGGAGGACACAGUGGCGAAGCGAUCUCUGUCUGUACUGACCUGAGAGCGAAGCGUGGGAGCGACAGGAUAGAUACCUGUAGUCACGCGUAACGAUGAUGCUAGUGUUAGGGGUUCCGCCCUUAGGCUGCACUACGCAUA
rnacentral:rRNA from 1 species